GAGGUCAUCCUUGCGCGCGGCCGGUUGGCCGCCUUGUUCCGCGUCUCCGCUCCUCAUCGUGCCACCCCGCCUUUAUCUUCUCCUGAUGCCACCUUCCCUAAUGGUCCACCACUGCUAGAAUCGGUGGUGCUGCUCGGGGCGGCUGCGAAAGAGAUAGCUCAUGGCCACGGCAGACCACCGCGGAGGGAGCGAAGCGGGGCAGCAAGAUAUUCUUCUCCCAGCGAGCCGGUGGUGUACAGCUCAAUCAAAGUGCUGUGCAAAAAAGUAAGAGAAACAAGCAAUCUGAAUUACAUUCUCACGUAACCAUAAACCAUUCAAGAUCACUCCAAGUUCUGUGCAAAAAAAAGGUAAGAGAAACAAAAUCUUGCUCAUUUUAUACAUAAAAUAUUUCGCUACAAUCUGAAUUACAUUCUCAUAUAACCAGACAAGAUCACUUAGAUGCAUUCAACUAGGAAAAAUAUUGAUUAAAUAAAUAAGUACUAUAUUUCCAUCUGUUUUUACCUUUUAACUCUAUGGUUCUGAGCAUGGAAACUAUUCAAAAUAAACCUCUAAUCUGUGAUAUUUGUGCAACACUUAUGUGCACCUCGACGAGGCCCAUACCCAUGCACCCUGCUCCCACCACCAGUGCGUUCAUCAUCUUCAUACAGGCAAGCAAAAUCUCAAUUCACAGAUAUGUGCUACCUCUCCAGUCAUAUGCACACUAGAUGUUUGUGCGAAUGCUUCCGUGAGUAUUAUCAACUAAAGUUGGACAUGCUACCAUUUCAGCUCCUAGCAUCUCGACUUCAUUUCAUAUGUACGAUGUAGGAAUGUUCAACUUAAUGUUACCUAACUGAACAUUUCUACUCAAUUAUCUUUUAGUCAAUUUUCAGGAAAACCCCUGAUAUCAAACCUGAACAGGAGGCAGCGAAUUACCUAGGAACAAGCAUCAAGAACUGAUCCCAAAUAAGUAAAGAGCAGGAGUAAAAAAGAGGCAGUCCUGAGAUGAUAUAUCUUAUUUCUGCAAUAUGACAUGACCACAUCAGUCCUAUGAGCCUUUUAAAAAUAGGACACAGUUAGAAGUCUGAACAUCAUAUACAAGGAGGAGGAUGUACCACUAUGAGCGAUCAGAGGAAAUUGGAGACAACCCGCCCCAGGCCAUGGAAUACUUGCGUAGCACAGGGAUUCGGGCGUGUAUACAUCCCAUUUUUUCCCGACGCAAUUUCGGGCGCGUUUAGUUCAAAUGCAGAACAAACUAAAUGGAGCUUUGCAUAGAUAUACUUGUGAACUGUUUUAGUACAUCGCUUUGUUUUUGUAGUAGCAUUAAGUAAAAUUUGAGCUUAAUCUUCUGCAUAUUUAACCAAAUAUUUGACCAUAAACAGUCAUCAGUCUACUACUGUCAACUAUAUUUCGAAUAUCAAUCCCUCUAUUUAACUGAA